AGAUACCCUACUAUGCCUGGUCAUAAAUACUGAUACCAAUCUGCCAGAGAACAACGAGCUAAAGCUUGCAACCCAAAGGACUUGGCGGCGCUCUACAUCACCCUAGAGGGGCCUGUCACAUAAUCGAUAACCCACGAUAAACCCCACCCCUUUUAACCACAUUAGCCUAUAUACCGCCGUCGACAGCCCAUCUUAAAAAGACACUAUCGGCCUAAUAGUUCCAACACUAACACGACAGGUCAAGGUGUAGCUCAUAAAGCGGCAAAUGAUGGACCACAUUACCAACAAAGUCAAACCAAGAUUAUACUGAAACACACAAUUUAAGGCGAAUUUAACAGUAAGACAAACAAGAGAACUUAUCUAAAACCCGCCCUAGAGCGUGCACACACCGCCCGUCAC
rnacentral:rRNA from 1 species